UACGAAGGGGGCUAGCGUUGCUCGGAAUGACUGGGCGUAAAGGGCGCGUAGGCGGAUUGUACAGUCAGGCGUGAAAUUCCCGGGCUCAACCUGGGGGCUGCGCUUGAGACGUGCGAUCUUGAGUGGGGAAGAGGGUCGUGGAAUUCCCAGUGUAGAGGUGAAAUUCGUAGAUAUCGAGAGGAACACCGGUGGCGAAGGCGGCCAACUGGACGAAUACUGACGCUGAGACACGAAAGCGUGGGGAGCGAACGGG
rnacentral:rRNA from 1 species